CAGUCGCCGCGGUAAUACGAAGGGUGCAAGCGUUAAUCGGAAUUACUGGGCGUAAAGCGUGCGCAGGCGGUUGUGUAAGACAGGUGUGAAAUCCCCGGGCUUAACCUGGGAACUGCGCUUGUGACUGCACAGCUAGAGUAUGGCAGAGGGGGGUGGAAUUCCACGUGUAGCAGUGAAAUGCGUAGAGAUGUGGAGGAACACCGAUGGCGAAGGCAGCCCCCUGGGCCAAUACUGACGCUCAUGCACGAAAGCGUGGGGAGCAAACAGGAUUAGAUACCCGCGUAGUCCCUGUCUCUUAUAC
rnacentral:rRNA from 1 species